rnacentral:rRNA from 1 species
GGCGAACGGGUGAGUAACACGUGAGUAACCUGCCCCUGACUCUGGGAUAAGCCUGGGAAACUGGGUCUAAUACUGGAUAUGAUGCCUGGCCGCAUGGUCUGGGUGUGGAAAGUUUUUUCGGUUGGGGGAUGGGCUCGCGGCCUAUCAGCUUGAUGGUGGGGUGAUGGCCUACCAUGGCUUCGACGGGUAACCGGCCUGAGAGGGUGACCGGUCACACUGGGACUGAGAUACGGCCCAGACUCCUACGGGAGGCAGCAGUGGGGAAUAUUGGACAAUGGGCGGAAGCCUGAUCCAGCAACGCCGCGUGGGGGAUGACGGCCUUCGGGUUGUAAACCUCUUUCAGCACUGGCGAAGCCUUUGGGUGACGGUAGGUGCAGAAGAAGGACCGGCCAACUACGUGCCAGCAGCCGCGGUAAUACGUAGGGUCCGAGCGUUGUCCGGAAUUAUUGGGCGUAAAGGGCUCGUAGGUGGUUUGUCGCGUCGGGAGUGAAAUCUUACGGCUUAACUGUGAGUGGGCUUUCGAUACGGGCAGGCUAGAGGGAUGCAGGGGAGAAUGGAAUUCCUGGUGUAGCGGUGGAAUGCGCAGAUAUCAGGAGGAACACCGGUGGCGAAGGCGGUUCUCUGGGCAUUUCCGGACGCUGAGGAGCGAAAGCAUGGGGAGCGGACAGGAUUAGAUACCCUGGUAGUCCAUGCCGUAAACGUUGGGCGCUAGGUGUGGGGACCUUUGUUGGUUUCCGUGCCGUAGCUAACGCAUUAAGCGCCCCGCCUGGAGGAGUACGGCCGCAAGGCUAAAACUCAAAGGAAUUGACGGGGGCCCGCACAAGCGGCGGAGCAUGCUGAUUAAUUCGAUGCAACGCGAAGAACCUUACCUGGGUUUGACAUAUGCCGGAUGGCUGCAGAGAUGUGGCUUCCCUUGUGGUCGGUAUACAGGUGGUGCAUGGCUGUCGUCAGCUCGUGUCGUGAGAUGUUGGGUUAAGUCCCGCAACGAGCGCAACCCUUGUCCUAUGUUGCCAGCACGUGAUGGUGGGGACUCGUAGGAGACUGCCGGGGUCAACUCGGAGGAAGGUGGGGAUGACGUCAAGUCUUCAUGCCCCUUAUGUCCAGGGCUUCAAGCAUGCUACAAUGGCUGGUACAAACCGUGGCGAAGCCGUGAGG